rnacentral:rRNA from 1 species
UACAGAGGGUGCAAGCGUUAAUCGGAAUUACUGGGCGUAAAGGGCUCGUAGGCGGCCAACUAAGUCAGACGUGAAAUCCCCAGGCUCAACCUGGGAACUGCGUCUGAUACUGGAUGGCUUGGAUCCGGGAGAGGGAUGCAGAAUUCCAGGUGUAGCGGUGAAAUGCGUAGAUAUCUGGAGGAACACCGGUGGCGAAGGCGGCAUCCUGGACCGGUAUUGACGCUGAGGCGCGAAAGCCAGGGGAGCAAACGGG